UCCCUCAUAAGCAUGCCCUGCUUCAUGUCCCACGCAAGCAUUCCUGCUGCAGUACGUGAGGCCAGAGGGUUGACAGAAGAUCUGGUCAGAAUAUCAGUGGGGAUCGAGGAUGUGAAUGAUUUAAUUGCUGAUUUAGACCACGCGCUUAGAACUGGACCUCAGUAGGCGCCCGCAGUAACCUGAAACGGCUUCAAAUUAUUUACAUACAGAUAGAUAAUAUGGUUAAAAGUGCCUAGGAAUGAAUGAUCCAAUGGCAGA